UACGUAGGGUGCGAGCGUUAAUCGGAAUUACUGGGCGUAAAGCGUGCGCAGGCGGUUCGCCAAGUCAGGUGUGAAAUCCCCGGGCUUAACCUGGGAAUAGCGCUUGAAACUAGCGGGCUUGAGUGUGGCAGAGGGGGGUGGAAUUCCACGUGUAGCAGUGAAAUGCGUAGAGAUGUGGAGGAACACCGAUGGCGAAGGCAGCCCCCUGGGUCAACACUGACGCUCAUGCACGAAAGCGUGGGGAGCAAACAGG
rnacentral:rRNA from 1 species